CAAAACAAGCUACCAGCAUGAGAAGAUCUAUCGUGGGGAUAGUCCUUUCUCCUUAAGUCAAAGAGCUCUCCAUGGACAUAUUCUGCAUGAACUUAUGACCUUGAAAGACUAUCUUUACCUCUCUACGAGCCUCUUCCAGAAGUCUAUCCAUAUACUUAUUGUGGGUGUGUGUGGAAUAAGAUAGGAAAAAUUAUCCUGUCUCUCAACUACCCCUUGAAGCCUACCCCAUUGUUGACUGAGGAAAAAACUAUUUUAUUUCUACUGGAAAUUAACAUAAAGGAGUACCUGUCUACAGCCCACCUUCUUUAUCUCUUUUCUGAAUAAUGAAUCCAUUUGAGAAUCUGUUGAAAUUAUGAGUCCUCUCUUCAUACUUGGAAUACCACAUGACAUUCAAGGCUCCUCUAGGCUAUGACAAGAAGUCUUGGGAGUACUCUUGCACAGAAGACCUGAGAUGCUGUUCUCAUCACAUUACAUCAGCAACACAUGCUAUCAACAAGACUUGUCAUUGUUAGUAUUGACCUUGAUCAUUUGACAAAGGUAGUGUUGGCCAGAUUUUUCUGUAAGAUUAUUCUUCCCACUUCUUUACUGUAUUCUUUGGGAGCAAGUCCCUAUGUGCAGUCCACAUUUAAGAGGUAAGGGUUUAUCCUCCAUCUCUCUGAGCAGGAAGUUUCUGCAUGUAUUGUUUGGAGUUUUUUCAUAUGGGAGAUUUGUCUUCUUCAUUUACUUAUUUAUUCAUUUAUAUAUUACAUCCUUAUGUAAAUAUAUAUUUAUACUUUUGAGUUCUAAUUUAAUGCUGUUAAAUAUACUCAUUUAUUUAUUUUUUGCUCAAAUUGUUCCAGGUUUGGUCACUAGGAGUUCUAUUAACUGUCCCUUUGACAUAUCCCAAUAUUAUUUCUGUGGGGGGUUGUCUUUUUUUUUAAUUUCUUGCAUUUUCUUCAUUUUUUUUAUCUGUAAGAUACUCCAGGCUCAUGUUGUUUAUUUCCGGUCCCUCCUUAGAAUCAACCAUUUCUGCAAGGAACCUGACUCCUUUUAUUGGAAAUAAAAUCUUGGCAAUAGAAACCAUGAUUUGGACAGCAAGUGUGUUCAUUACUAUUGGAGUGGCAUUACUUCUAGGCCAUCUCAGCUGACAGAGCAAGGAGAUACAUGAGAAUACUAAUCUGUAUAUGUACCCAUGUCUGUAUUUACCCAUAGGAAGUCAAACAUGAACUCAUACUGUCAUUCAAAUUCUAAUCCACAGGAUCACCUCAGCCUUCAGGAGACUACCUUUUAAUGAA